CUUACUUCUGGAUUCUAACAGUGAGUUGUGAGAAGCAACGCGGAAAACGGAAUGGAGACUCCAGCUUGUUUUAAACGAGCUGUAUUACCCCGCACAGUGCAGGAGAAAAGAUAAUUGGCUCAGGUCUCGGCUCUGCCAUCUACCACCUGUGGAGCCUUAGAUAAGUCAGUUCUUAUCUCUGUCACUCAACGGUCUCGGUCUUGUCAUCUUUUACAUGGAAUGUCAUGAAAUAUACAGUACAUUGCAGGAACUGCCUCAGUUCCCGCACAGCAGGAGCGGAGGGAAGAGGGGAGAGAAGGCACCGCUAAGGACCGCUGGCCCCGCCAGGCGGCCGACCUCCCCAUUCC
rnacentral:lncRNA from 10 species